rnacentral:lncRNA from 1 species
UAAUUUCUUUUUCUUUUUCUUUUUUUUAAAGUAAAUGUGACAUAGCAGGUCUUCUCUUUUUUCAUAUAGUAUCUUGGUAUGUAGUUGAAGCUCAUUCUCAGUCAUCCUGCCUUUACCUUUACAGUGAUCAUGGGUGUAUGCAUCUACUUGGUCAAUUUAUUAGGUCUUUUUUUUUUUUUUUCCCCCCGAGACAGGGUUUCUCUGUAUAGCCCUGGCUGUCCUGGAGCUCACUUUGUAGACCAGGCUGGCCUCAAACUCAGAAAUCCGCCUGCCUCUGCCUCCCAAGUGCUGGGAUUAAAGGUGUGCGCCACCACGCCCGGCUUUAUUAGGUCUUUUUAACUAUUAUGGUGUAAAUGUAAUAUAUCCAAUUAAUAUUGAUGUAAACAGUAUUUGGCACUAAAUAUAUUUUUUUCUUUCAGUCUGGAUGUGGAUAGUGAAGCUAAGAAACUACUGGGAUUAGGACAGAAACAUCUGGUGAUGGGUGACAUUCCAGCAGCUGUUAAUGCAUUCCAGGAAGCAGCUAGUCUUUUGUAAGUAUAUGUUCUGUUGUAAAACAGUAGUAAAUAGCUUACAAACUUGUAACAGGUUUUCUAUGGGGAGAAAGAAGGAAGAUUGAAAGUGGGGUGGGUAUAGGAGUAUGAUGGUAGAAUACUUACCUAAUAUACGUGAAAUCCCAUGUCUAAUUGUCUGAACCAUGAAAACAAUUCUGGCUUUUUAUUUUCUGUGGAUGAGUUUUUAUUAUAAUAAAGUAAUUUCAUUUAACUUUUGAAGAAGGUGAUUUUCAUCAUAGUCACUAAUGAUUAAGAGGAAAACUAAUUCAUUUUUUACUUUUUAUUAUGUAAAAUAUGCCUCAGAGACGAGUAUUGGUGGGGCACUCCUUUAAUCUCAGAAUUUUGGAGGCAGAUGUCAGCCUCGUUUACAGAGGGAGUACUAGCACAUCCAGGUAUACAGAGAAACUCAUGAAAAAUUUACUUAGGUUCAAUUCUAAGACCUUUUAGGUGAUAAGCAAGUACAUUACCAUUAAGCUAUUCCCUUAUUCUACUGGGAUAUCAGUUUGGUUUUUUGUUUGUUUGUUUGUUUUUGUUUGUUUUGGUUUUUUUGAGACAGGAUUUCUCUGUGUAGCCCUGGCUGUCCUGGAACUCACUUUGUAGACCAGGCUGGCCUAGAACUCAGAAAUCCGCCUGCCUCUGCCUCCCGAGUGCUGGGAUUAAAGGCAUGCGACACCACGCCUGGCUUCAGUUUGGUUUUUAUUUUUUAAUUUUUUAUAUGUAUGAAUAUGUCUCCUGAAAGUAUGUACAUAUGCCAUAUGUGUGCCAAGUGCCUAUGGAAUCCAUGAUUGAGUAUUGGGAUACCUUUGGUAGUAAAUUGUGAGUUGUCAAGUAUGUGAGUACUUGAAAUCAAACCCAGUUUCUCUGCCAGAGCAGCAGCAGCUUUUUUAAAACUCUCAACUUUCUCUCCAGCUUGACUGCUCUUGAUUUAAUUUCUCCUACUAAAUCUUUUAUUAGAAUAGCAUUUUUCAAACAUUCUUAUCUUAUGUAACUGAUUGGAAUAUGGUGGGAGCCAUGAGUUGGCCAUAUAUUGAAGAAACAGAUUAGUAAUCUUAGUCUUCAAACUAUCUUUUUCUGAUCACUUUGUCUGAAUGCGUUGUCUCUAGGAUAGUUUUUUUCUAAUAGCAAUUGAAGGUUAGUCAUUGUUUUCAUUCAUACUGGGAAAAAAAAAUCUUAAAAGUUUUUGUAGGUUUCUGAUUUCCUUUUUAAAGAUUUAUUUCUGUAUUAUAUGUAAGUACACUGUAGCUGUUUUCAGACACUCCAGAAGAGGGCAUCAGAUCUCAUUACAGAUGGUUGUAAGCCCCUAUGUGGUUGUUGGGAUUUGAACUCAGGACCUUCAGAAGAGCAGUCUGCUUUUCACUGCUGAGCCAUCUCUAGCCCUGUGCCCGAUUCCUUCUUUCAGCAUGCAGAACAAUGUUAUUCUUGGAUGUUUGUAACAAUCUUUGGGCCUGCCUUUGUUUUGUUCUGUCUGGACUGAUUAAUUUUGGGCUGUGGUAUUUAGUACUGUGCUGGUGUCUUAUUCCCCUGUAUGCUGUGAUAAGCAUCAUGCCUUUAAAUCAACUUGGGUUAAGUAUUAAGGGUUUAUUUGGCUUACAUGUCCAGAUCAUACUCCCAUCAUUGAGGGAAUUAAGGGCAGGAACACUGCCUACUAGCUUGUUCUUAAUGUCUUGGGCCCCCUGCUUUCUUAUACUAUCAUGACCACCUGUCCAGAGGUGGUACUGCCUACAAUGGACUGAAGGCCUUCCCAUAUAGACGGCGCAGGUUUGUCUCCACUUUAUCUCAGUUGAGAUUCCUCUUCCCAGAUAACUCCAGUUUGUGUCAUGUUUUCAAAAACUAAUCAGUGUAAACUGUUAAGUAUUGGAAAGUUUUCAAAAAAAAAAAAAAGUGGGGUUUAGAAAUUAAAUUUUUUUUUUUUUUUUGUUCAUACGAAUGGGUGUUUUGUGUGCAUGUGUCUGGACAUACAUGCCUGGUGUCAGCAAGGCCGGGAGGACAUCAGAUCACCUGGAACAGGAGUUACAAGUGCUUGUAAGCUGACCUGUAGGUGAAAGUAAACACUCUUAGUUUAUUUUUUAGAAUUUUGUAAAGAUCAUUGUUUUCACUAUCCUGCCAGAAAGGAUAUAUUGGAAUCCUUCAGUAUUGGCUUAAAAACUCAAGGCCUCACACAUUCUGGCAAGAGCUCUACUGAGUUAAAUUCUCAUUGCCUGG